GGUUGGCGCCCUUUUACAGUUUGAAAGUUGAACGGUUUUUAGACACACAGCUGCGUCACACACGUCCUCAAACAAACAAACGUGCAGCGAUGAAAUGCGUGAAGACGAUCAUCAAAGAUCUGGAUGAGAAGACACGCUUUUUAUUGAAGAGGCGACUAGACAAGCUCUUGAACAGAUGCAGAACAACAGGGAGUUUAAAAGACACCAUAAAGGCUUUAAAAAAAGAGCUUGGAAUGGAAGAAGCAUUAAAAACUGUCGAGCGCACACUGAAGAAAAUCAGAAAAAAGAUGCAUACCAAACGUAUGAAAAGAUAUGGGGAUGGCGUUCAAACACAUUCUGGAGACAUGACAGUUCAGAGGCAUGACAAUCUUCCCCAACAUAAUAAUAAUGAUAAUAAUAAUAAUAAUUCUGUAUCAUGUGGACAACGGUUGAUUCGGAGCCCAAAUCAGUGUAACUUAAUAAUUGACCAGGAGGACGGUUGUAUAGCGAAUGCUCCAGUUUUGGCAGGAAACACCAUAACAGGUCGUGACAUUAUCUUUAACCAUCAUGUGGUGAGUGUCUGACUGUUAAAAUACUGAAAUUACAUUUUGUAGAGUUACUUAUUUAAAGUGAUAAUUCACCCAAAAAUGGAAAUUCUGUCACUGAGUCACCCUGAAGUCGUUCCAAACUUGUAUGGGUUUCUUUCUUCUGCUGAACACAGAAGAAGAUAUUUUGAAGAAUGUUAAGAACCAAACAGUUAAUGGUAGCCAAUGACUUCCAUCAUGUGGAAAAAAUAAUGUGGAUGUCAAUGGCUACCAGCAACUCUUUGUUAAAGGUUAGUUCACC